rnacentral:rRNA from 1 species
CUGCAGACACCGGAUCUACCGGAUUAUCUAAUACCAAAACUAAAGAUGCGAUUCAAAGAUGUAGAUAAAGCAAGGGAAUUUUAUAACAUAUACGCCAAACAUACUGGUUUUGGAAUCAGGAAGACAGGGGGAAAUGACAACCACAAGUAUUUUGUUUGCGCCUUCCAAGGGAUACACACAUCUUCUGUUUCAGAGGCUAACAGGAAGCGAAACAAAACAUCGCAGAGGACAUGCUGCAAUGCAUGAAUGAGGGUGAAGGUGCAAGAGGAUAACACAUGCGUGGCAGUGGACAUUGAGUACAAUCAUAAUCACAAACUCAUGCAAACUGAUGGCAUGCUAGUAUUUUUGCACUCACACAAGAAUUAUGACCCCACUAUUUUGGAGUACGUAAAGCUCCUGCAGUACCAUGAUGUCAAGCACACAACAAUCAUGUCCAUGCUAUCUGAAAAUGAAGAUGGAAGCUACUUCCUAAGCAUGACCGGACGAGACCUACUAAACCAGAAAGCCAUGAAUGCAAGGAAAGAUGAUUUGGAUGAUGUAUUGAAACUUGUUUCGUUCUUCAAAGACAUGAAGGCAAUCAAUGAUGAGUUUUUCUAUGACAUCCAAGUGGACAAGGACAAGUCAAUUAAAAACAUUUUCUGGUCCAAUGCAAGCUGCCGAGGAGCCUAUCAAGACUUUGGCGAUUGCAUAACAUUCGACACAACUUACAAGACCAACAGAUUUCAUAUGCCUCUGGGAGUGUUUGUUGGAACAAACCAUCACUUGCAGUCAACGAUAUUUGCUGUUGCCCUGAUAAGAGACAAAGAUGCAAAGUCAUUCAAGUGGCUGUCCGAUACAUUUGUACGGUGCAUGAACAACAAGCACCCAACUUACAUUCUAACAGACCAGUGCCCAUCGAUGGCGAAAGCUAUACCACAAUCAUUUCCAAACACCGUCCACAAGCUAUGCCGUUGGCACAUCAUGAAGAAGUACAGGGAAUACCUCGCGUUGCUGUACAAAAGUAAAACAUUCAAAGAGGAGUUCACAGCUAUAUUAAACUGGCCGCUGAUGCCAACGGAGUUUGAAGAUGCCUGGGCUGAACUCGUGCACAAGUACAACCUAGAGAACGACUAG